UACGUAGGGUGCGAGCGUUUGUCCGGAAUUAUUGGGCGUAAAGAGCUUGUAGGCGGUUUGUCGCGUCUGCCGUGAAAGCCCAGGGCUUAACCCUGGGUCUGCGGUGGGUACGGGCAGACUAGAGUGUGGUAGGGGGAGACUGGAAUUCCUGGUGUAGCGGUGAAAUGCGCAGAUAUCAGGAGGAACACCAAUGGCGAAGGCAGAUCUCUGGGCCGUAACUGACGCUGAGGAGCGAAAGCAUGGGGAGCGAACAGG
rnacentral:rRNA from 1 species